AGAGAAAAGAACGAAAACAAGCUCGGUUGAGUUUUAUGGAUUUAUCCGACAACCUCAGACCAUCAGAUGAGAAUUAUUUGACACUGUGGCUAGUAAUCUAUGUUCUGAGGAUAUGGGGAACAAUAAGAUUUGGUGUUGCAAUGUAUAAACACCAUACCAAAGACCAACUCGAAAAUUAUGCAACGUUUGACAAAAUCUUUUUCUAUAUUCAGUGCUUCGGAGAUUCUUCACAGGCUUUCUUCUCAUGUAUUUUAUUUUGCCUUUUAGAUCCCGUUAUUCGCAAUUCAUUGCUGACCUAUCGUCGUCGACAAAGUUACCACAGACUUGAUUCAGUUGUUGCUUGAAUGAGGGGGAACAGGACCUUUUUCGGGACGUCGGGAUCGGGUGUUUUUAUCUCGGGAUUUCGGGAUUGAUCCUUUUGGGAUCCGGGAAUUCUUUUUUUCGAAUUUAGCGAUGUCGGGAUUUAGAUUUCUUUAAGUUCGGGACCUCGGAAUUUCAUGUUUUUAAGCCCGCGAUUUCGGGAUCAGGACGCCUCCGACACCCCUCCCCCUUUUUGAAUGUUUGUUAUUGUUUUGUCGUUAUGUAUAUUUUGUACAGUUUUAUACAAUAUGUUUUAUUGAUACAUGUAUGUAUUAACAUUUUCCAUUUUAUUUUAAGAAUGAAUAAUGAGAUGUGGUAUGAUUGCCAAUGAGAGAGAACUAUCCACCAAAGUUCAAAUGCAGUUGAUGUAUUAAGCAGUCAUAGGCAACCGUACGAACUUCCAAUAUUGAGAAAACCCCAUACCAGUUUUAAAAAGCUCCGCCAUGACACAAUAUAAAUAAUUUAAUAAUAAAAAAAACAACGGCC
rnacentral:lncRNA from 1 species